UUAAUUUUGUAUUAUUAUUUAUAUUAUUGAAAGAAUUCGAUUUAAGAAUAAUUUUAAACGAUGGAUUAUUCGAAGGGUUGUUACCUUCUUCCAAUGAAUGGAAUUUUUUGACGAAUAUAUAUCUUUAGAACCGGAGAAGAUAAUUUCUUACACGCGAAGUUUUUUAGUUCUUUCAAAACCAUCAGACGGAGACUAAUUUUAUCUGUGAUAAGAAUUUUUAUUGCUACGUUAGCGUUGAUUUUUUAUUAUAUAUAGUAUUGCCUCGUAUGCUCAAAAAUCACUUCAUUAGCAUAAAUUAUUUCAGAUUUUUUUUCUCGACUGCAAAAUGCACAUUACAUAAAUCAUCCUGCAUUGAAAUGCAAAUUCAAGAGUUUUCCAUGAGUUGCAAAAAUUAUACAUAUACACAGUCAUGAUAAUUAUUGCUUUAAUCACAAUAAUUAUAUCUAUUAUUCCAUUGACAUUUUGUAAAAAAAAAAAAAAAUUCUAAAUCACCAUUCGAUUGAUAAAUGUAAUUUAAUUUCGCUGUAUAUAUAUCUUGCACAAUUUUGUAAUUUUAUGUAAUUGAAUUAAAUUUAAAAAAUAUUCAAAAGAAUUCGCUUAAAUUACUCAAAUAAACUACACAAAAAUAUUCUCAAAAAUGUUCCACCACCUUUCAACACCCUCAAAUAUACACUCGCCAAAAAAUUCAAUUUCACCAAUCCAAAACCCUGUCUAAAUCCCCUGAAGAAUCAAAACUAUCCAAUAAUAUUCUCAAACAAAUCGACGAACACAACAAUAGUUGUACACACAGUAAUCUCUCAUGUCUAGACUUGCUUCCUGGGAGCGUCGAGAACGGGGUUAAGUUCGAGCGCCUUCCAGACAGUAUCGUAUGCGCUGUCGAUCAUUCCUGUCUAUCUGUUUUCCACUAGCUCUAUUUUUCCCUAGGAAACUGGACAGGGGGAUAGUGGCGGGUAGACGGGCGUGCAGCUGUGUAGCCGAAUCUAGGUCCGAUUCUGGGCUGGAAUCACGUGCACACUGCUGUUGAUUGCACUUUGAAAUCGGGGCUACAUGGCUCGCGGGGGGGCGAUAAAGCUGCCUCUGAGGCCGUAUCCGAUCGAACGAGGACGAGCGUGCACUAGUGGAGGAUCUGUUUGUGUAUGCACGAAUCACGAGGAGGAAAGUGAGCGCAUCGAAGCAACCGUUUUAUCACAUGUGAGAAUCGAUGAGGAGUGAAGAUCGAGAUAACACUGGAAGAAAUACUAUCAAGAAUGAAGUUCUCUAAGCAAGUUUACGAUUUGAUGGGGAGUAUUUACUUCUCUUUCAUAUAAAAUUCUUUCCUAGUUAUUCUUUCUGCGUCUCGAUUCAUCCGGCCUUGAUCCAGAGGAUGUGAAAAAUAUCAGUGGCAAAUGGGACGCAACACGAUUGUAAAGAAGAAUUGUAAACAAGUACAAGGUUCGCCGAAUAAUAAACCAGACCUUAACAAGAUUAA